ACCCUGGACACCUUCCACCAUCCCAGGAUGCUCCAGGCUCUGUCCAAGCUGGCCUGGAACACUUGCAGGGAUGGGGCAGCCACAGCUUCUCUGGGCAACCUG